CAUCUGGUGUGUUUCGGCAGUGCGUAAAAAUCUACUGGUGUCACAUCGGCAUUAAGAAAAGAUUGGAUAAAACUACACAAAAUAAGAUGAACAUCUGGUGUGUUUCGGCAGUGCGUAAAAAUCUACUGGUGUCACAUCGGCAUUAAGAAAAGAUUGGAUAAAACUACACAAAAUAAGGGCGGACCUGGACAGUGUCAAAGCUCGGUCAUAUGAGGGAAGAGACAGCCGUGGACCCAAAAAGGAAAAAAGACGGCAGUUUUCGAGAACGCCGUCGACCUGCGAGCAGAUGUUGGACCUUCCAGUGACUCAAAGAAAAAAAAAAACCCACACAACACAGCGCUGGUGAAAUAAACGAUUCCACAUUUUCAAAUAGUUGCAUCUCAGCCAAAUGACGUAUGGCUCGACUUGAACUUCACGACUGGUUUUGUGGUCCAGAGUCACACGCAGCAAUGCAUUUUUGCAAUUUUUUAUGUAAAUAAUGUGCAAACGAAUGACGAAAAUGCGAACGCUUGCCCCCAACCCCCGACACUUGACGGCUGUUCAACAGCACGAAGGUUUUCGGAAGGACAAUUAACGGGGAUGAAACCUGACGAAUUUUUUAACAAACAAACAAACAGCGCUAGCAAGAGCCCCGGGCCAGCGUUCGGCGGAGGGCCUCCCACACCGGGGCUGUGGACCACGGGCAUUCAAUCACUCCGACAGCGACAUCCCUUCGCCUUCACCGUCAGAGUGGCCCCUGUUGGGGGGGGGGCGGAGAUAUUUAUGAGCGGCGCAUUUGCACACACGCCCAUGCGGCUGCCAUCACGGUGAUAUACUGCACGCCGGACACAGAGAUGGAGCCUUCCAGUUCAUCUCCUUCUCAUUUUCGGCCCCAGCCCAGACCCUUGGAAGUGCUCCUGUGAGCUUUAUAGGACGGGUCUAAUGCAGGCAGCAGACACGACUCACCGCCGGCUACCCAUCAUGCUGAUCUGCUGCUCCUCGAGCACCUGGCCGCGCGUUUUACAAUCGGCGUUUAAUGGCGGUACGGAAACCUCGUUAUUUAAACGCAUCUCUCGCUUCCUUCGGGAAAGCGCGAUUGUUUCUGGACAGAUGCUGGGAUUGGAGCGGCGUGGGUGUUUCAUAUACUCGCGGUGAUUCACUGACCCGUCCUACAAAACUGGACGCAAACCGCUGAAAGACGGAUGCGUCAAAACUACAGAGAAAAGUUCCUGUUGCUUGCUCUGUUCUCUUGAGGGAGUGUGGGAGCCUCGGCAUCUGUUUAUCAUUUAGUAAAUGAUAUUAUUAAAUAUUAU